GACGAACGCUGGCGGCGUGCCUAAUACAUGCAAGUUGAGCGCUGAAGGUUGGUACUUGUACCAACUGGAUGAGCAGCGAACGGGUGAGUAACGCGUGGGGAAUCUGCCUUUGAGCGGGGGACAACAUUUGGAAACGAAUGCUAAUACCGCAUAAAAACUUUAAACACAAGUUUUAAGUUUGAAAGAUGCAAUUGCAUCACUCAAAGAUGAUCCCGCGUUGUAUUAGCUAGUUGGUGAGGUAAAGGCUCACCAAGGCGAUGAUACAUAGCCGACCUGAGAGGGUGAUCGGCCACAUUGGGACUGAGACACGGCCCAAACUCCUACGGGAGGCAGCAGUAGGGAAUCUUCGGCAAUGGACGAAAGUCUGACCGAGCAACGCCGCGUGAGUGAAGAGGGGUUUCGGAUCGUAAAACUCUGUUGGUAGAGAAGAACGUUGGUGAGAGUGGAAAGCUCAUCAAGUGACGGUAACUACCCAGAAAGGGACGGCUAACUACGUG
rnacentral:rRNA from 1 species